UUGUGAUACUUGUUUUGGAGUUAUUGGUUUAGGUGGCAGAUCUAGAAGUAUAGGUAUCACAAGUGAAUCUGAUAUAAAUUUAUUGUGUUCAGUAUUCAUUAAGUUAUGGUGUUUCGCAAAUGUUUUGGACUUUUCUUUAUCGGAAACGAUCCAAGUUCCAUCAUCAUUCCUGAGAGGAGCUGAGACAACGCUGUGACGCAGGAUCGUUUAGUACUACGCCAGAGGCUCCCAUCGUCUGUUGACAAGCUUUUUAAAUGUGUUUGUUCACGGCGCCAAAAACUACUGUUUAUGAAGACUGGACUGUGUUGCGGGUUUUAAUUAAGACGGAAAAGUUUGGGUCACGAGCAGGAUUCGAACCUACGGCCUACGGCUCAAUACGCCACUCAAACUACCAUGACUUCGAUCCACUCGGACACCAACUCAUAGUCUGGGACUUUUCUACGUUCAAGUUAAGCCUAUUUUCAGCGGCCCAGGAGCUAAUUGAGCUGAAUUCUUACAAUUGACGCUUGGAAAUCAUUAAUGUAAGAGCAAAAAUAGGAAGCGGAGCUGCUUGAGCCUUGAGAGACUCCAGAAGAAUAGAGAAAAAGAUAAGGGCUUUUGGGACGGAAACUACUUCCAAAAGGAAAGUGUGGAACUAGC